rnacentral:rRNA from 1 species
CCCCUAGAUGUUCUGGGCCGCACGCGCGCUACACUGAACAGUUCAACAAGUCUUAACCUUGGCCGAUAGGCCUGGGCAAUCUUGUUAACGUGCAUCGUGAUAGGGAUAGAUUAUUGAAAUUAUUAAUCUUGAACGAGGAAUUCCUAGUAAACGCAGAUCAUCAAUCUGCAUUGAUUACGUCCCUGCCCUUUGUACACACCGCCCGUCGCACCUACCGAUUGGAUGGUCCGGUGAAGCCUCGGGAUUGUGGUUCUUGCCGCUUUAUUGUGGCGUGACCGCGAGAACUUGUCUAAACCUUAUCAUCUAGAGGAAGGUGAAGUCGUAACA